GGGGGGGGGCGGGGCGGGGGGGCUCCGGGCCAAUCGCCUUAGUCCCCGCGGCCUCGGCCCCCUCCCCGUGCCCUGCGGACCCCUCCGGCCUUCGCUGGGGGAAGGAGGAGAGAUGGGGAAGGAUGGGGGCUUCGAUUGCAGCCCCUUCUCUCUCUCUCUCUCCCUGUCCCGGUGUCCCCUCCGCCGGUAGUUUUCAGAACGAGGUGACGGCCUGCUAGACGGAGCCCCGCUGUCUCCCCCGCUCCUCCCGGCCGGGGCUGGGCUGGAAAGGGAGCGAGGACACUGAUGGCGCGCCAGCCGUUCAGGCCCCUGGCGUCGCUAGCCCCGGAGUAUACUUGUACCUCACGCUUCCCCCGCGGCCAGCGCCUCCUGCCUUUCUUUGAGCGCCUGCGAGGCGCGACGGCCCCAAGGGAUCCGCCCGGGAAUGGCCGCAGUCUCUGGGGAAGCUCUCCACUCCCAGAGACUGUGAUUCUGGGGACCCUCACGAUCCCCCAGACAGGGGUACAUGCAUUUGGUUGUCGGAUUCCAGCGUACCCGGAAUCUGCCCACCCGCCUCGGUUCUUCUACAAAAUCCAGUGUUCUCCUUUAGGAGACCUUGGCCCGGGUGAUGGGUUGUGGGGAACCACCUACAGGAAGGGACUGCUGGAGGCGGAACAGCCCUCAACCUGAAAGGACCCGUGCCCAAACUGAAGGGCAGGCAUCUCCUUCUCCCCCUCCUCGCCCUUCCCUUAUGCUCACAAACCCCAGCUCCCUGCUACUUUUUAUAACGCUUUAUUCGAGAUCCUGCUACACAUCCAGAAAACAAUCCCACCCUACGGAAUUCAUUUCUGCACUCCAAAUGCUGGGCGCGAGACGGGCUCAGAUACCCAGUGUUGGUGAGGACAAGAAGGGUUACAGCUACAUGUGACCAGUGGCUGCCGUAUCAGACCACUUCCAAAUGGAAGCAAGUCCCAGAAGACCAGGAAGUCACCCCAGGUGGGCAGCGAGCAGAAAGAGAAGAGACGUCUGGUCCGGAGUGCAUUGUGCUGGGAAGACUAACUCACGUUCAGGCAACUUUUGUCUCAGUUGUUUGAGUACAUUUUGUGUCCUGGUUGGCAUGAAAAUGUAUUCUUACUGGGAGUCACGGUGAGGAAUGGGCGAGGCUCGAGGCUAUAGUGACCAGAGUCUCCUGUCUCCUUGGUGGAGGAGGGAAAGAGGCUGAGAGGGACCAGGGGACCCACCCACAAGUCACACAGCCAGAGGAGCUGUUCUGGAGCCCAGCUUCCCAGGCUCUGAGUUCUGAGCCUGCAUUUCAUGGCUUCUUCCCUGACCUUGACCUCUAUCACCAUUGUUAUGACCCCCCCACACACACACACACACACAUACAAUAAAGGACUGCCUUGUGGUCAGCCCCACCAGGGCACACCUGUCCCCGGGUCAGCCAUACCUCCUCCUCAGUCCUCAACCUCAAUUCCCAAAAAGGUCCCUUCAGUCUUUAUAAAAGAGAAAGCCCCAGAGGCCUGACCUCCCCGUGGCCCCCUCCUCCCUGGCCUGGGGCAUCAGCUGUUGACUGCAGCUGCCCUGAGGCUGAGGGGAGCCACAGGUGUGGGACCAGACCUCCCCAGGCUGCAGGCCCGCUGGCCUCCUCCGGCCCCAGCCUGCUGUUGACCUUCAGCGGGUCUUGGCAAGGCACUCAGCAAGGCCCCAGAGGAGACCCCCGAAGGGAAACACAAACCUCGAAAUGGAUUUUCUUUUUCUCCACGAGCAAAAAAAAGUUGAAUAAGAAAUAAGUUACUAUUUUUACUGCUGGGAUCCGGUUGUUAUGGUAACUGAGGGCCUCGAGGGAGUCAGGGUUGGCCCGCCAGUGAAGGAGAUGAGGUGGGUUCCAGGGGCAGCGGUGGCAGCCACCGGACGAGCCUUGGACUACCUACCGACUGUGGGAUUUCUGGCACCCCUGCCCCUGGCUCUGCGCCCCCCCCCCCCCCCCGCCGUGACGAAAGGCCACCUGUGCCCAUAUAACACUGGCCAGUGGCCCCUGGCAACUUCUCCCUUUGGUGCAAGCCCACCAUCUCCUGCUGGCUGUGUGGUCUCGGGCUCCCCCGGCCUUGUCGCCGAGCCUGUCCUUCACUGCUCCUGGGGGGGGGGGGGUCAUUGUGCCCUCAUCUCCACAUGCAGCUUUCGACCCCCGCCACAGUGAGCACCACGGGCAUCUGAGCGAUCAGCCCCACGAGCCCUGCUGGCCAAAACCCAAUUCUUCCCUCUGCCGUUCCUCUUCCAGCCCCCUCUCCAGAAGGCGGCCCCACACCACCCCCUGGGCCCGGUUGGCCGUGGCUGGAAGCUCUGAACGCGGCCUUCCCAGGAUCCGAGGCCGGCCUCCACCUCCACCUAGCUUUGUGCCCUGAACCCAGGUGCUUCCCAUUCGAGGCUCAGUUUCCCCACUUGUAAAGUGGAAGUUAACAGCACCCACCCUGCAGGAUUACUGAAGGAACAAAGGCCACCUGGGCCCGAUGUUAUUACUGGCAAUGUGUCUCCCCAUUCAGUCCCCUCUGUAGCACUACAUGGUAGGAGGUGCCGUUCCUAAUUUGCGGACAAGGAGCCGUGCUCAGGCAGGCCAAGUCCCACAACAAGCCACACAGCACAUCUGUCUGUGCUGAAGUGCCCUGCACUGCAUGGGCACGGAUUAAACACCUACCGUGUUCCCGGCUCAUCAGAUGCGCAGAGUGGCAAGCAGGUAGGGAGAUAACACCCCCCACCACCACACGCCCGCCAACCACCAGCGCUUUUCAUCCCUUCCCUAGAGCCCUGACCACGUCACCAGUCUCCUCCCACACGACCGACCUCUGCCACCUGUCCCCAGGACCCAAUGGCACCCUCUGAUGUGAUCCUUCUCCUCCCUCCUAGCGACUUCCAUCCCCGAUCAGUACCUACGACAUGGGCCCCUAUAUACGCCUAGCAGUGUCUGCCUGCAAAGUCCUCGUUGUCUCUGGCAAAGCCACAAAUCUUCCCUACCAGAGUGACUUUCUGAAACGCAAGUCUGACGAAGCCCCUCUCCCUAAAACCCUUCAGUGGCUCCCACUGCCUUCAGGAUGGAGUCAGGAUAGAAAAACGACCUCACCCACUGUGCACACGCAGUAAAUGAAUCCAAACUCCCCCCAAACAUGCAUGGCUUUCUCGUGCUCUGUGGCUACACAGAUGCUGUUCCCUCUGCCUGGAAGGCCUUUCCUCCUUAGUUUGCCUGGCAGAUCUCUAUUUAUUCUUCCAGACCCAGUUUAAAGUUCUCCUUUGUUGGACCUUUAGGGGAAAUGGCUUCUCCCCCCUUUUAUGCCACCUUUGAACCAGCGUCCGGGCCCCACGGGAUCAUCUCGUAGGUACCCACCAGCCAAGGACUACCAGGACCGGUGCCUGUGGUAAGGUUUAUCAAUCGGCUGCAAUCAGGGGGAGGGCCCAAUGUGGGGAACUGGAGGGGUCUCCAUGAGGGCCGUUAGGAAGGACUUUCGGCAGAAUUUGUACUUGCCUUAGGUACUUAGGGAAGUUCAAGGUAGCGUCACUUUACUGAGGCCCUCCUUUUUAUUGGACACUCAGGGGGCGCCUGGGUGGCUCGGUCACUUAGGCGUCUGACUUCGGCUCAGGUCAUGAUCUCGCAGUUUGUGGGUUCAAACCCCACAUCGGGCUCUGUGCUGACAGCUGGGAGCCUGAAGCGGCUUCGGAUUCUGUGUCUCCCUCUCUCUCUGCCCCUCCCCCACUAGCACUGUCUCUUUCUUUCAAAAAUAAAUAAAACUUUAAAAAAAAAAAAAGGAAAAAGACCUUAGGGGUCAAUAUGAAAGUGGAGUGCACUCUGCAGACAGGCAGGAACAAUUUUUAAAUCCUCCAUCAGUCCCUUGUGCCACUAGGGAUGGGGCAACUCUCUGAAAUGGAAACAUGAUGAAAGCUCAGAUCUCCACAUUGAAGCCGUCUUCAGGCACGGGGCCACCAGUUUGCAAACGUCACUCUUUCAAGGCGCCCUCCACUUUCUUUGGGCUCUCGCCACUCCCUGUACCUUCAAAUAGUACCUGUAUCUGUAGCUUAGCUGUAAUCUAUCCAUACAUAUAUGCACGUGUAUAUAUACACAUAUACGUGUAUGUGUAUAUGCAGACACUUGUGUAUUCUAUAUACACGUGUAUAUCUCAGAUUUUAUAAUGUAUAUUCCAGAUUACAUGUGAUGUAUGGUGUUAAAUAACAAAACUUCAAACCUAGUAAAAUUUAUAUAUAUA